rnacentral:rRNA from 1 species
GACGAACGCUGGCGGCGUGCCUAAUACAUGCAAGUAGAACGCUGAAGGAGGAGCUUGCUUCUCUGGAUGAGUUGCGAACGGGUGAGUAACGCGUAGGUAACCUGCCUGGUAGCGGGGGAUAACUAUUGGAAACGAUAGCUAAUACCGCAUAAGAGUAGAUGUUGCAUGACAUUUGCUUAAAAGGUGCAAUUGCAUCACUACCAGAUGGACCUGCGUUGUAUUAGCUAGUUGGUGGGGUAACGGCUCACCAAGGCGACGAUACAUAGCCGACCUGAGAGGGUGAUGGGCGACACUGGGACUGAGACACGGCCCAGACUCCUGCGGGAGGCAGCAGUAGGGAAUCUUCGGCAAUGGACGGAAGUCUGACCGAGCAACGCCGCGUGAGUGAAGAAGGUUUUCGGAUCGUAAAGCUCUGUUGUAAGAGAAGAACGAGUGUGAGAGUGGAAAGUUCACACUGUGACGGUAGCUUACCAGAAAGGGACGGCUAACUACGUG